rnacentral:rRNA from 1 species
AUUAGGAAUCUUGCACAAUGGGCGAAAGCCUGAUGCAGCGACGCCGCGUGAGGGAGGAAGUCCUUCGGGAUGUAAACCUCUUUUAUCAGGGAAGAAAAAAAUGACGGUACCUGAUGAAUAAGCUCCGGCUAACUACGUGCCAGCAGCCGCGGUAAUACGUAGGGAGCGAGCGUUGUCCGAAGUUACUGGGCGUAAAGCGCGCGUAGGCGGGUUUGAAAGUCGGAGGUGAAAUGCUGGGGCUCAACUCCAUGCAGUGCCUCCGAUACUUCAAGUCUUGAGUGCGGUAGGGAGAAGUGGAAUGGCUGGUGUAGCGGUGAAAUGCGUAGAUAUCAGUCGGAACACCGGUGGCGAAGGCGGCUUCUUGGGCCGUUACUGACGCUGAGGCGCGAAAGCCAGGGGAGCGAACGG